CCUACGGGAGGCAGCAGUGAGGAAUAUUGGUCAAUGGACGAGAGUCUGAACCAGCCAAGUCGCGUGAAGGAUGACUGCCCUAUGGGUUGUAAACUUCUUUUAUAUGGGAAUAAAACAGGGUACGCAUACCCCCUUGUAUGUACCAUAUGAAAAAGGAUCGGCUAACUCCGUGCCAGCAGCCGCGGUAAUACGGAGGAUUCGAGCGUUAUCCGGAUUUAUUGGGUUUAAAGGGAGCGUAGGUGGAUUGUUAAGUCAGUUGUGAAAGUUGGCGGCUCAAACGUAAAAUUGCAGUUGAAACUGGCAGUCUUGAGUACAGGAGAGGUAGGCGGAAUGCGUGGUGUAGCGGUGAAAUGCUUAGAUAUCACGAAGAACUCCGAUUGCGAAGGCAGCUCACUGGCCUGCAACUGACGCUGAUGCACGAAAGUGUGGGUAUCGAACAGGAUUAGAUACCCUGGUAGUC
rnacentral:rRNA from 1 species